rnacentral:lncRNA from 1 species
UGGUAAUUUAAAAUUUUUUUUCUCAACAAGCCAUUAAUUUAGAUUAUUCUUUUAUUUAGUCACCUAGAUAAACAAUCUGUACGGAAUUUUCAUAGCCUAUUUUGGCCCCAUAUAGCCUGUUUCUAGCAUAUUCAACUGGUUUGCACUUUUCCUCAUCUUUUUUAAAAGUAGACAGAAAACACGAGAUUUUUUCAAUGUUUAUGAGAAUGUGCGAAGAGAAAUGAAAGAACUUUUUUUUUUCAAUUCUUAGAAGUUAAUAGUUAAGAUACUGUCUUAUUUUGAAAAAGAAUAAUGCCUGGCC